ensembl:lncRNA
UGAACCAGCGAGUAUUUAUCGGAAAAUAAAUUCAGAUUACGAAAGUGCAAGGCAAAAUUCGAAGACUUGCCAAAUAACACAGAAAGCGACAAUGGUGUAAAAUAAGGAUAAACACUAGAGCAAUUUUUCUUUUACAAGAUGGAGGCAUUUGAUGGAAUGUUACGGUUUCAAUCUAUACGACGAAUUUGCGGAGUUUCUUCUCGACAGGAGAGGAACCUGCCAUCACUCAACUCCACAACUGUCCACAAUCAUUAAAAUAUGUGAGAUGGGCCAAACCACAACACUAGGUCUUGCGCUUUAAAAAAAAAAAAAAAAAAUCUCCAUCAGUUUUCCAUUGUGGCAUUUAUGUGGAUGAAUGGCCUUAGAAAGGUCAACACUGAACAUUGAUUACACACCUCGCUGUCAGAAGGGCCUGGGGAGAGGGGAGCUGAGCAGAGCGAUUUACAGGCUGUCGGGUUGGCUUUGUUCCCGUGUAAGUCAAGUCUCGAUGGAGAAGAGACGCAUCAGUGCUCCAAAUGGCCCCAGCCGUCUCAUUGCAUUAUCUUCAAAUGGCACGUCUGAUGGAGAAGUUAGAGAACAGCUCUCCUUGCUUCUUUCAUUUAGAUUUGCCUCCCUUAUUAACAUGUAACGCACCUAGAUUGUCCUGUGUAUCUUUGUGUUAACCAAAAUUUAACAUGUAUACUUAAGUACAAGACCCUGGUCUUGGGGAUUUGUGGUUGUUUGUGCCAUGUGAUGUCCUCUAAACAAUCUUCAUAUGGAUUUAUAUUGUUCUGGGUGCUUUCUCAUUGAUAAAACAUCAACAAUGCAUUAAUACUGGGUUACCUAUUAUAGAGGGAGAUUAUGAGGAAGCUUUGAAAGCUUUCGAGCAGAAGAGGUGAGAGAACCAACUCCUUAUUCUGCCAGCGGCCGGUGUGUGGCUGCCUGGAGGGAAAGGAGCUCUGCACAUGAAAGCUUGUUGAUAAUUUCAUGAAUGCCUGCACUGAAACACACACACACACACUUGUAUAUGGUCACAUUUAUGAACAUAUAUAAGUGUUUCAGUGUGUGCGCUAUGGGUCAGCUAAAACAAAUGCUCUUUAUCUUAUCCUGUCUGCAAAAGCAGCCUUCAUAUAUACACACACACAUACAUACAUUUGAUUAAAAAAAAAAUACAGUAAAACACUACAAAUCAUUACAUUUAAAAUUAUUCCUGAGAUGCCAAAGCCUACUUACUCCAGUCCUCAGUGUCACAUGACCCUUCAGAAAUCACCUGAACAAGAUCUAAAAAUAUUUGAAUGAUUGAAUUACCUAUAUAAACUUUGACUGUUUUUUAAUACAAAACAAUGUCAACUUAAUUUGCUUGUGAUUUUCAGUGCUUCAAAUGUAUUUCAGAGAAUUGUAAUGUAUAAUGAGAGCAUUGGGUCUGAAUAAUAUGAAGCCACGGACAGAUAACUUUAACUGACAUGAAGCCUCACUGGUGCCUGACUAAUUGACAGCGUAAAUAUUGUCAAGCAUUAACUUUUUCAUGUGAAAGUGACUGAAUGACAGCCUGUUCGGCCUUCAGGUUUUCCAAGCAAUUUAUCAUCCUUAUCUACACUGGGGUAAUUUAUCUAGCUGAAAAGAGAAAAUAUGUUUACACUGUGAUUCUAAUAGGAAAGACAUUUUGAUAUUUCACUUUUCUAAAUUACUUGUCAAGCAAGGUUUGUCAGCAGACAGAGGUGAAAUGACAACAUUUUCUCCCCACAAUUUCUCCCAAUUUAACUCUUUCACAAUGCUCCUACUUGACUGACAUUGAGGUUUUACUGUCUCUGCUUUGUUUGGGGAAAAAAAAAAGAAAUGUUAUACAUCUAUUAAAAUAAAAUUUUUAUAUGAAACAGAAUGAGAGUAAUCUAAUAUGAGUCUUUGUUGUUGCUAGGUACGAUAUUUUUAGUACAACAAUUACAUAGAGAUAAUUAUAUCUCAGAUAGCAAUUAAUGGAAUAUAAUUAUCCACCACAUACAACGGCAAAACUUUCCAAGGCUGACAGAUAGCAGGUGUCAAGAGUGUAAUGAAAUCAUGUUAAAACAGAUUUAUAAACAUAUUCUGUGUUUAAAUAUUAUAGUCUAUCAUAGACCAUAUUUUCUGACUAGAAAGCUGCACAUGUACAGCU